GGGGAAUUGUUCGCAAUGGGCGCAAGCCUGACGACGCAACGCCGCGUGGAGGAUGAAGAUCUUCGGGUCGUAAACUCCUUUCGAUCGAGACGAACGGCUUCCGUGCUAAUCAACGGAAGAGUGACGGUACCGAGAGAAGAAGCCCCGGCUAACUCCGUGCCAGCAGCCGCGGUAAUACGGGGGGGGCAAGCGUUGUUCGGAAUUACUGGGCGUAAAGGGCGCGUAGGCGGCCUGCUAAGUCGGAUGUGAAAUCCCUCGGCUCAACCGAGGAACUGCAUCCGAUACUGGCGGGCUUGAAUCCGGGAGAGGGAUGUGGAAUUCCAGGUGUAGCGGUGAAAUGCGUAGAUAUCUGGAGGAACACCGGUGGCGAAGGCGGCAUCCUGGACCGGUAUUGACGCUGAGGCGCGAAAGCUAGGGGAGCAAAC
rnacentral:rRNA from 1 species